rnacentral:rRNA from 1 species
GACGAACGCUGGCGGCGCGCUUAACACAUGCAAGUCGAGCGAGAACCCAGGCUUCGGCCUGGGGGAAAGCGGCGAACGGGUGAGUAACACGUGGGUAAUCUGCCCUCGGCAUCGGGAUAGCCCGGGGAAACCCGGAUUAAUACCGGAUGGCCCGACAGCUCUUCGGAGCGGUCGGAAAAGGUAGCUUCGGCCUCCGGCCGAGGAGGAGCCCGCGGCGGAUUAGCUUGUUGGUGAGGUAACGGCUCACCAAGGCUCCGAUCCGUAGCUGGUCUGAGAGGACGAUCAGCCACACUGGGACUGAGACACGGCCCAGACUCCUACGGGAGGCAGCAGUGGGGAAUCUUGCGCAAUGGGCGAAAGCCUGACGCAGCGACGCCGCGUGAGGGAAGAAGGCCUUCGGGUUGUAAACCUCUUUCAGGAGGGACGAAGCCACUCGGGUUAAUAGCCCAGAGGGUGACGGUACCUCCAGAAGAAGCCCCGGCUAACUACGUGCCAGCAGCCGCGGUAAGAC